rnacentral:misc_RNA from 1 species
GUCGAGAUGUUGGUGUAGAUGUGCGCCCAUUUGAAAGAACACGCCCAGCUGAAGUUGAAGGACCUGAGGCAGAUGACAGUAAUGGAUUCCGACGUGUAGGAGUAGAUGGGCAAGAAUUUGAACGAGUCACAGUUGAAUUCAAGUUUGCAGGAAUUUGCGCCCUAGAACUUGGAGUUGAGGGCCUUGAGCUUUGGGAUUGGCGAGUCUUGUCAAUUAAAGAGCUGGUGGGGGCUGGACGAACUCUACAUGGAGUUG